GAUGAACGCUGGCGGCGUGCUUAACACAUGCAAGUCGAACGAAGCACUCUACUUGAUUUCCUUCGGGAUUGAUUGUUCUGUGACUGAGUGGCGGACGGGUGAGUAACGCGUGGGUAACCUGCCUUGUACAGGGGGAUAACAGUUGGAAACGGCUGCUAAUACCGCAUAAGCGCACAGCAUCGCAUGAUGCAGUGUGAAAAACUCCGGUGGUAUAAGAUGGACCCGCGUUGGAUUAGCUAGUUGGUGAGGUAACGGCCCACCAAGGCGACGAUCCGUAGCCGGCCUGAGAGGGCGACCGGCCACAUUGGGACUGAGACACGGCCCAGACUCCUACGGGAGGCAGCAGUGGGGAAUAUUGCACAAUGGGGGAAACCCUGAUGCAGCGACGCCGCGUGAGCGAUGAAGUAUUUCGGUAUGUAAAGCUCUAUCAGCAGGGAAGAUAAUGACGGUACCUGACUAAGAAGCUCCGG
rnacentral:rRNA from 1 species